rnacentral:lncRNA from 1 species
AAAGAUCAGCCAAAACAAUAAUCAAAAAAAUUGAACCCAUUCAACAAUACCAGUCUGUAGCGUGAGCGAGGGUUGGCUAUAUAAAAGGCUAGGAGUGGCCAAUUUGAUUAGAAAAAGUAUCAGAGUUCACAUUAGAGAUUGAGGAUUCGAAUGGAUAGAAAAGAUCUGCCUAAACCCUAAUCAAAAAAAUUGAACCGACUCAACAAUACCAGUCUGUAGCGUGAACUAGGGUUGGC